UGCCUUGCUUUAGUUCUUGCCUCCAG
rnacentral:piRNA from 1 species